UACAUGGGGUGCAAACGUUGCUCGGAAUUAUUGGGCGUAAAGCGCGCGUAGGCGGUUAUCUAAGUCGGAUGUGAAAGCCCUCGGCUUAACUGAGGAAGUGCACCCGAAACUGGAUAGCUAGAGUACGAGAGAGGGUCGCGGAAUUCCCGGUGUAGAGGUGAAAUUCGUAGAUAUCGGGAGGAACACCGGUGGCGAAGGCGGCGACCUGGGUCGAGACUGACGCUGAGGCGCGAAAGCGUGGGGAGCAAACAGG
rnacentral:rRNA from 1 species